rnacentral:rRNA from 1 species
AACGAACGCUGGCGGCAGGCCUAACACAUGCAAGUCGAACGAGAAGCUUCUUCGGAAGUGGACAGUGGCAGACGGGUGAGUACCGCGUGGGGAUCUGCCCAGAGGUUCGGAACAACCAUUGGAAACGAUGGCUAAUACCGGAUAAGCCCUUAGGGGGAAAGAUUUUAUUGCCUUUGGAUGAACCCGCGUAAGAUUAGCUAGUUGGUGAGGUAAUGGCUCACCAAGGCGACGAUCUUUAGCUGGUCUGAGAGGAUGAUCAGCCACAUUGGGACUGAGACACGGCCCAGACUCCUACGGGAGGCAGCAGUGGGGAAUAUUGCGCAAUGGGCGAAAGCCUGACGCAGCCAUGCCGCGUGAGUGACGAAGGCCUUAGGGUUGUAAAGCUCUUUCGCUAGGGAAGAUAAUGACGGUACCUAGUAAAGAAGCCCCGGCUAACUCCGUG